GCCCGGGUAGCUCAGUUGGUAGAGCACUUCCAUGGUAAGGAAGGGGUCACCGGUUCGAAUCCGGUCCCGGGCU
rnacentral:tRNA from 1 species